CCUACGGGUGGCAGCAGUGGGGAAUAUUGGGCAAUGGGCGCAAGCCUGACCCAGCAACGCCGCGUGAAGGAAGAAGGCUUUCGGGUUGUAAACUUCUUUUCUCAGGGACGAAGCCAGUGACGGUACCUGAGGAGUAAGCCACGGCUAACUACGUGCCAGCAGCCGCGGUAAUACGUAGGUGGCAAGCGUUAUCCGGAUUUACUGGGCGUAAAGGGCGUGUAGGCGGGUCUGCAAGUCAGAUGUGAAAACCACGGGCUCAACCUUGGGCCUGCAUUUGAAACUGUUGGUCUUGAGUACUGGAGAGGCAGACGGAAUUCCUAGUGUAGCGGUGAAAUGCGUAGAUAUUAGGAGGAACACCAGUGGCGAAGGCGGUCUGCUGGACAGCAACUGACGCUGAGGCGCGAAAGCGUGGGGAGCAAACAGGAUUAGAUACCCUUGUAGUC
rnacentral:rRNA from 1 species